GUGCCAGCCGCCGCGGUAAGACGGAGGGUGCGAGCGUUGUUCGGAAUCACUGGGCGUAAAGCGUAUGUAGGCGGAUCAAAAAGUUAGAUGUGAAAUCCCUGGGCUCAACCCAGGAACUGCAUUUAAAACUAGUGAUCUAGAAAUUGGUAAGGGUUAGUAGAAUUUCCAGUGUAGAGGUGAAAUUCGUAGAUAUUGGAAAGAAUACCAGAAGCGAAGGCGACUAACUAGGCCAUUUUUGACGCUGAGAUACGAAAACGUGGGUAGCAAACAGGAUUAGAUACCCUGGUAGUCCACGAAGUAAACGAUGAGUGCUAGUCGCUGGGACAAUAGUUUCAGUGUCGUAGCUAACGCAUUAAGCACUCCGCCUGGGAAGUACGGUCGCAAGAUUAAAACUCAAAUAAAUUGACGG
rnacentral:rRNA from 1 species